UUUCAGCUAACGAGUCCCAAAUAGGACGAAAUGCGCAUCCUGGAU
rnacentral:hammerhead_ribozyme from 1 species